rnacentral:rRNA from 1 species
GAUGAACGCUGGCGGCGUGCCUAAUACAUGCAAGUCGAGCGAACAGAUAAGGAGCUUGCUCCUUUGACGUUAGCGGCGGACGGGUGAGUAACACGUGGAUAACCUACCUAUAAGACUGGGAUAACUUCGGGAAACCGGAGCUAAUACCGGAUAACAUAUUGAACCGCAUGGUUCAAUAGUGAAAGGCGGCUUUGCUGUCACUUAUAGAUGGAUCCGCGCCGUAUUAGCUAGUUGGUAAGGUAACGGCUUACCAAGGCAACGAUACGUAGCCGACCUGAGAGGGUGAUCGGCCACACUGGAACCGAGACACGGUCCAGACUCCUACGGGAGGCAGCAGUAGGGAAUCUUCCGCAAUGGGCGAAAGCCUGACGGAGCAACGCCGCGUGAGUGAUGAAGGUCUUCGGAUCGUAAAACUCUGUUAUCAGGGAAGAACAAAUGUGUAAGUAACUGUGCACAUCUUGACGGUACCUGAUCAGAAAGCCACGGCUAACUACGUG